AGAUUGUUUUCCUGAAUUGUGGCUGCGCAGAGACUCCGGGGUGGGAUGAGAACCAAGACUGCCCCACUGCCUCCCUACCCGACUGACAUUGGACACGGAACAAGAGACCUGACAGGGUCCAACAGAGAAACGCGGAUGGGCUCAGAGCUUCUUUCCAGACCCGCCAGUCUCUGGUGCAACAGAUGAUGUCCGGGAAGAGGCGGAGCCAGGUGUGACAGUUCUGAGGGCCAAAGACAGCCGUUGGGUUAAUCAAUUGUUCUUUGGAGCAGCUUGGACACCUUUAGAGGGUGGGCUCUAUAGGUGAAAGAACGGCAGGCGGACCGACCAGAAGUUCGUGCUCUGAUGGCCGGGGAUGUGCAGAACUAGAGGAUGCGGAGCCGAUUGACAGCAGGCCUGAGAGAGAGGUUAGCACCCAUAGUUCUUCCGCGAGAAGGGGGCGGGGAUUGAAACUUGAUUGAUGGCAUUUCCGACCAGUGAGAACGUCUGAGUCAGGGGCCCUUGAGUAGUAUGUGUCUUUUGGCAGUAGAGGGUUGGUCCUUACUUUGACUGACCCUCUUAUCAUCCAAUAAACAUGCCUACUUGCGUUGGGGGCGGGGCGACUGAGUGCAGAAAAGACGGGAUCUUGUCCUUGUCCUCGUUUCCCUUAAAGAGGAAACUCAGU
rnacentral:lncRNA from 1 species